rnacentral:rRNA from 1 species
UACGUAGGGUGCAAGCGUUAAUCGGAAUUACUGGGCGUAAAGCGUGCGCAGGCGGUUAUGCAAAGACAGAUGUGAAAUCCCCGGGCUCAACCUGGGAACUGCAUUUGUGACUGCAUGGCUAGAGUACGGUAGAGGGGGAUGGAAUUCCGCGUGUAGCAGUGAAAUGCGUAGAUAUGCGGAGGAACACCGAUGGCGAAGGCAAUCCCCUGGACCUGUACUGACGCUCAUGCACGAAAGCGUGGGGAGCA